rnacentral:rRNA from 1 species
AUUGAACGCUGGCGGCAGGCUUAACACAUGCAAGUCGAGCGGGGGAAGGUAGCUUGCUACCGGACCUAGCGGCGGACGGGUGAGUAAUGCUUAGGAAUCUGCCUAUUAGUGGGGGACUACAUCUCGAAAGGGAUGCUAAUACCGCAUACGUCCUACGGGAGAAAGCAGGGGAUCUUCGGACCUUGCGCUAAUAGAUGAGCCUAAGUCGGAUUAGCUAGUUGGUGGGGUAAAGGCCUACCAAGGCGACGAUCUGUAGCGGGUCUGAGAGGAUGAUCCGCCACACUGGGACUGAGACACGGCCCAGACUCCUACGGGAGGCAGCAGUGGGGAAUAUUGGACAAUGGGGGGAACCCUGAUCCAGCCAUGCCGCGUGUGUGAAGAAGGCCUUAUGGUUGUAAAGCACUUUAAGCGAGGAGGAGGCUCUUUUGGUUAAUACCCAGAAUGAGUGGACGUUACUCGCAGAAUAAGCACCGGCUAACUCUGUGCCAGCCGCCGCCGUAA